rnacentral:rRNA from 1 species
UUAAGUUAUUAAGGGCGCACGGUGGAUGCCUUGGCACUAGAAGCCGAUGAAGGACGUUACUAACGACGAUAUGCUUUGGGGAGCUGUAAGUAAGCUUUGAUCCAGAGAUUUCCGAAUGGGGAAACCCAGCAUGAGUUAUGUCAUGUUAUCGAUAUGUGAAUACAUAGCAUAUCAGAAGGCACACCCGGAGAACUGAAACAUCUUAGUACCCGGAGGAAGAGAAAGAAAAUUCGAUUCCCUUAGUAGCGGCGAGCGAAACGGGAAGAGCCCAAACCAACAAGCUUGCUUGUUGGGGUUGUAGGACACUCUAUACGGAGUUACAAAGGACGACAUUAGACGAAUCAUCUGGAAAGAUGAAUCAAAGAAGGUAAUAAUCCUGUAGUCGAAAAUGUUGUCUCUCUUGAGUGGAUCCUGAGUACGACGGAGCACGUGAAAUUCCGUCGGAAUCUGGGAGGACCAUCUCCUAAGGCUAAAUACUCUCUAGUGACCGAUAGUGAACCAGUACCGUGAGGGAAAGGUGAAAAGCACCCCGGAAGGAGAGUGAAAUAGAACCUGAAACCGUGUGCUUACAAGUAGUCAGAGCCCGUUAAUGGGUGAUGGCGUGCCUUUUGUAGAAUGAACCGGCGAGUUACGAUUUGAUGCAAGGUUAAGCAGUAAAUGUGGAGCCGUAGCGAAAGCGAGUCUGAAUAGGGCGUUUAGUAUUUGGUCGUAGACCCGAAACCAGGUGAUCUACCCUUGGUCAGGUUGAAGUUCAGGUAACACUGAAUGGAGGACCGAACCGACUUACGUUGAAAAGUGAGCGGAUGAACUGAGGGUAGCGGAGAAAUUCCAAUCGAACCUGGAGAUAGCUGGUUCUCUCCGAAAUAGCUUUAGGGCUAGCCUCAAGUGAUGAUUAUUGGAGGUAGAGCACUGUUUGGACGAGGGGCCCCUCUCGGGUUACCGAAUUCAGACAAACUCCGAAUGCCAAUUAAUUUAACUUGGGAGUCAGAACAUGGGUGAUAAGGUCCGUGUUCGAAAGGGAAACAGCCCAGACCACCAGCUAAGGUCCCAAAAUAUAUGUUAAGUGGAAAAGGAUGUGGCGUUGCCCAGACAACUAGGAUGUUGGCUUAGAAGCAGCCAUCAUUUAAAGAGUGCGUAAUAGCUCACUAGUCGAGUGACACUGCGCCGAAAAUGUACCGGGGCUAAACAUAUUACCGAAGCUGUGGAUUGUCCUUUGGACAAUGGUAGGAGAGCGUUCUAAGGGCGUUGAAGCAUGAUCGUAAGGACAUGUGGAGCGCUUAGAAGUGAGAAUGCCGGUGUGAGUAGCGAAAGACGGGUGAGAAUCCCGUCCACCGAUUGACUAAGGUUUCCAGAGGAAGGCUCGUCCGCUCUGGGUUAGUCGGGUCCUAAGCUGAGGCCGACAGGCGUAGGCGAUGGAUAACAGGUUGAUAUUCCUGUACCACCUAUAAUCGUUUUAAUCGAUGGGGGGACGCAGUAGGAUAGGCGAAGCGUGCGAUUGGAUUGCACGUCUAAGCAGUAAGGCUGAGUAUUAGGCAAAUCCGGUACUCGUUAAGGCUGAGCUGUGAUGGGGAGAAGACAUUGNGUCUUCGAGUCGUUGAUUUCACACUGCCGAGAAAAGCCUCUAGAUAGAAAAUAGGUGCCCGUACCGCAAACCGACACAGGUAGUCAAGAUGAGAAUUCUAAGGUGAGCGAGCGAACUCUCGUUAAGGAACUCGGCAAAAUGACCCCGUAACUUCGGGAGAAGGGGUGCUCUUUAGGGUUAACGCCCAGAAGAGCCGCAGUGAAUAGGCCCAAGCGACUGUUUAUCAAAAACACAGGUCUCUGCUAAACCGUAAGGUGAUGUAUAGGGGCUGACGCCUGCCCGGUGCUGGAAGGUUAAGAGGAGUGGUUAGCUUCUGCGAAGCUACGAAUCGAAGCCCCAGUAAACGGCGGCCGUAACUAUAACGGUCCUAAGGUAGCGAAAUUCCUUGUCGGGUAAGUUCCGACCCGCACGAAAGGCGUAACGAUUUGGGCACUGUCUCAACGAGAGACUCGGUGAAAUCAUAGUACCUGUGAAGAUGCAGGUUACCCGCGACAGGACGGAAAGACCCCGUGGAGCUUUACUGUAGCCUGAUAUUGAAAUUCGGCACAGCUUGUACAGGAUAGGUAGGAGCCUUUGAAACGUGAGCGCUAGCUUACGUGGAGGCGCUGGUGGGAUACUACCCUAGCUGUGUUGGCUUUCUAACCCGCACCACUUAUCGUGGUGGGAGACAGUGUCAGGCGGGCAGUUUGACUGGGGCGGUCGCCUCCUAAAAGGUAACGGAGGCGCUCAAAGGUUCCCUCAGAAUGGUUGGAAAUCAUUCAUAGAGUGUAAAGGCAUAAGGGAGCUUGACUGCGAGACCUACAAGUCGAGCAGGGUCGAAAGACGGACUUAGUGAUCCGGUGGUUCCGCAUGGAAGGGCCAUCGCUCAACGGAUAAAAGCUACCCCGGGGAUAACAGGCUUAUCUCCCCCAAGAGUUCACAUCGACGGGGAGGUUUGGCACCUCGAUGUCGGCUCAUCGCAUCCUGGGGCUGUAGUCGGUCCCAAGGGUUGGGCUGUUCGCCCAUUAAAGCGGUACGCGAGCUGGGUUCAGAACGUCGUGAGACAGUUCGGUCCCUAUCCGUCGUGGGCGUAGGAAAUUUGAGAGGAGCUGUCCUUAGUACGAGAGGACCGGGAUGGACAUACCUCUGGUGUACCAGUUGUCGUGCCAACGGCAUAGCUGGGUAGCUAUGUGUGGACGGGAUAAGUGCUGAAAGCAUCUAAGCAUGAAGCCCCCCUCAAGAUGAGAUUUCCCAACUUCGGUUAUAAGAUCCCUCAAAGAUGAUGAGGUUAAUAGGUUCGAGGUGGAAGCAUGGUGACAUGUGGAGCUGACGAAUACUAAUCGAUCGAAGACUUAAUCAA